ACGCUGUCUGUCUUUGUCUCACACCUGGACACCUGCUCCAGGUGUAUUCUGCGAGGGACAGGAUCAAAACUGCACUUAAAAUCCUGAAAUAGAACCUGCAUUGCCUUCCCAUCAUCCAUGAGACGGGUGACCUUCUGUUAGGGAACCAGUGAGUGGGAGCCAGGGUGCGCUUGAGUUUCGGGAAUGCCGCAUCUCCUCGUCUCCUCAUUUCCCAGGCAGACCCUGCCACGAGGGCGUGGCCGAAGCGGCCCGAGGAUCCGGGCAUUCUUAGGAGAAUGCUGGGCAAGGGCCACACGUCGGUGACUGCAGGAAAUUGCCAGCAGGGGAGGCAGCCUUCCUUCGUACCUGAUGUGGAUUCCCUUCCCCGGACAUCCUAGAGAUAUUUUUAGGAUUGGUGACUGAUAAACACAAUGUGUUUUGAUGGA